rnacentral:lncRNA from 1 species
GCCUGGUCUUUGGGAUCGGCGGCGCCGUCGCGCGAUGCCAACAGCGUCUGCGUCCAUCGCGACGCGACCCUCGCCAACGCCUCAUGUCCCACGCGGCCCCAGCCGCGACAGACCAACCGCGCCGUUGCCACGAUCUCGACGCUGUCGCACGCCGACAGGAUCGCCAGGGUCAACUCGUCGGGCAGCGACGACCAUGGCUGCGUGGGCUCACCACCGCCAUCCAUCGCCAAAUGGCGCCUUGUGCUUUUUUUUGUUGCGGCGUGGUUUUUUCUCUUUUCCCUUUUGGUCUUUUCCUUCCUUUGACGACGCUGUCUCUGGCGUGAGGAGAUGCCCACCAGCCUCUUUUCUGUCGGACGCCAUUGUUUUCCCCCAAUUCUUUUCUUGUUUUGCGCACAACCGCGCCGAGGGUGGGCGACCCCCGCGGCACCAGACCCAAAGACAAAAAACUGCGCACGGCAG